UACGUAGGGUGCAAGCGUUGUCCGGAAUUAUUGGGCGUAAAGAGCUCGUAGGCGGUUUGUUGCGUCGGCUGUGAGAUCCCGAGGCUCAACCUCGGGUCUGCAGUCGAUACGAGCAAACUAGAGUGUUGCAGGGGAGACUGGAAUUCCUGGUGUAGCGGUGGAAAUGACGCAGAGUAUCAGGAGGAACACCGGUGGCGAAGGCGGGUCUCUGGGCAACAACUGACGCUGAGGAGCGAAAGCGUGGGGAGCGAACGG
rnacentral:rRNA from 1 species